AUUAGGUCAAAUUUUAAACCUUAGCGAGUUAAUUUCGAAUUAAAAAGUACAAAAAAAAGAAGAGGAAACAGAAAUAGUGAUCUUCAACUGAAAAUGGAGAUGGAGACAGACGCUUCAAAUGACACAGAAAUCACCUCAACCCAACUCUUCAAAGCCGCCGAAUCCGGCGACGCUUCCCUCUUCAACUCUCUCUCCAAAACCCAACCCUCCAAAUUUCUCUCUCUUCAAAAUGACGACGCUCGCUCGCUCCUCCAUGUCGCCGCUUCCUCUGCACAUUCCAAGGUGGUUGAAAUUCUAGCUGAAGCUGAUUCAACAGGGAAAGUGAUUAAUAACAAGGAUGAAGAAGGGUGGGCCCCAAUUCAUUCUGCUUGUAGUAUUGGAAAUCUUGACAUCCUCCAAAUUCUCCUUACUAAAGGAGCUGAUGUUAACUUGAAAAAUGAUGGUGGUCGAACUGCUCUUCACUAUGCUGCUAGCAAGGGAUGGGUGAAGGUUGCUGAGUUGUUGCUUGCCCAUGGUGCAAACAUCAAUGCUAAGGACAAGGUUGGAUGCACACCACUGCAUCGUGCAGCUAGCACAGGGAACUCAGAGUUGUGUGAACUCCUCAUUGAAGAAGGAGCAGAGAUUGAUGCCCUUGACAGAGCUGAUCAAACUCCUCUAAUGACUGCUGUCAUUUGUGAAGACAGACAGGUUGCACUUCUUCUAGUAAGACAUGGAGCCGAUGUGGAUAUUGAAGACAAAGAAGGUUAUACAGUCUUAGGUCGCUCCCCAAAGGAUCUUAGGGAUGCUAUUAUUGAUGCUGCAAAAGCCAUGAUGGAAGGCUAAACCAUAAGAUGAUGUGGUUACAAACUUGACAAGGGUAACUCCCUCCUAAGUGUUUUUGGCAUGCUAAGGUUGCAUUAAAACCUUGACUGUACAGAAGGGAGUAAACCAAGUUUUCAAUUGAACUUCAGAGGUGAACAUUUGCAGUGUUGUAUCAGUCAAGUGGUUUUGAAAUAUUCAGGCAUUGUCAAAUCGAUUUCAUCCUCAAGAAGGAAGCUUUUUCAUAUUAAGGAGACUAAUGCUCACCGAGAGUUGAUAUUAUUUCUUUUGUUGUGAUUCCAUUGUAUUCUGCUUGGCAAUUACCAUGGGAUAGAUGAAGAUGCAUAUUCCUUCAUCGAAUAAAUGAGUGUAAAAAAGAGUGUGCCCUUACGUUUGACAAUUGUCUCAUAUUUGGUAUACACAAUAACACAAGUUCUUACAAUUUAUAA